rnacentral:rRNA from 1 species
AUCGGUGAUUUUAAUGAGAUUCUAUACUCACAUGAGAAGGACGGAGGAGCUCCACGUCCAACAAAUAUGAUGCAAAAUUUCAGGGAUGCACUAGUUGACUGCGAACUGGAGGACAUGGGCUUCAUGGGAGACAUGUUCACUUGGAGAAGGAGGCGGCUUCGAGAGCGACUUGAUAGGGCAGCAUGUAAUGGCCAGUUUCACGGAAUAUUCCCUCACACAACGAUCACGAAUGCAGGUCAUACAAAAUCUGAUCACAGACCAAUUUUCAUGGACACAGAAGGUGCAAUGCCAAGUGAUGAUCAGGGACAGAGAAUAAAACAAUUGGAAGCCCGGUGGUUGCAAGAGGAUGAUGUGGUCCAGUUGGUCUCAGACGCAUGGGAGAGAACUGAUCCGACGGCGUCGCUCGUCGCUCGUACUGCUGCAGUACACCAUGUGAUGCAUGUCUGGCAUCGAGAGAUCUUGAAGGCUCCUCACCGGCGCCUGAAGGAACUAACGGCAGAGUUAGAGGCACUGCGAUCGGGCCCCCUUACUGAUGAGGCGGCGGAUCGGCAACGCAUACUGUUGAUUGAGAUAGAGGAAAAUCUGGAAAAGGAAGAAAUCUACUGGGUUCAGAGAAGCCGAGCGAAUUGGCUCAAAUUUGGCGAUCGGAAUACACAGUUUUUUAACAAUUUCGCAACAGCCAUGAAGAAGAGAAAUUACAUCCGCAAGCUGCUGGAUGAUAAUGGUGUCUGGCAUGAAGAUAAUGAGUCUAUGCGUAAUCUUAUAGCUGAAUAUUUUCAAAUCUUUUUACUUCAGAGGUAG